rnacentral:rRNA from 1 species
UACGUAGGGUGCGAGCGUUAAUCGGAAUUACUGGGCGUAAAGCGUGCGCAGGCGGUUCUCCAAGUCCGUUGUGAAAGCCCCGGGCUCAACCUGGGAAUGGCAGUGGAAACUAGGGGACUGGAAUCUGGCAGAGGGGGGUGGAAUGCCGCGUGUAGCAGUGAAAUGCGUAGAGAUGCGGCGGAACACCGAUGGCGAAGGCCGCCCCCUGGGCUGAGAUUGACGCUCAGGCACGAAAGCGUGGGGAGCAAACAGG